GGGUUGUAAUGCCCGGCAGGGCUGAGCUGGCUUGGAGGACCCCGCAAAAGGCAGAUUCUGGUGAUUUCUGUUCCUGAAUUAGCAGCAUCGAGGAGAUCCUGUCUUGGCUUUUCUGUGCAUUCUGUCUCAAGGCCCCUCCUCAGCUUUCCGGAAUCAGCAGGGCAGACUUGGAAUUCCAGACAGAACUGAAAAGGCCACUGUUGCACCAACAAAGCAAGAGAUCAAGUUUCCAAGUGUAGCAGAGACACGGCCUCGGGGCAGAAAUUGCCACAACGCCCCACCACAAUGCCACACUCAGCCACGGCAGGGCUGGCAGCUCCAGCAACCCAUAGUUUCCAGAAGCCCACCCCUCAGCAACCGGGCCUUAAUGGCAGUGGACCGAUCACCAACAUAUGAGUGAGCCCAGUCAAGUCCAGCAGGGAAAACCAACCAGUUGAACCCCGCCCAGAUUGGCAACCUACAACAUUGUGUGCUAAUA